AGCGUGCGAGGGGGGUGGGGUGGAAAUAGCGGCUGCUUCUUUUCCAAGGAUUUAUUUAAUGGGGAUGUGUUCAAGGCAAGACCGAAUUCAGAAGGAUAUCGACGUCGUGAUCCAGAAGUCCAGAGCUGAGGACUGCCUGUUUGCAGGGCCCGCCUGGCAGGACGACUGAGCAAGUCCUUGGAAAACCAGAGAUAUUAGAGCGGUGAAUCGCGCUGGUCACGUUGGACACCUGCGCGUUAGGAGAUUCUGGAGCCAGAGGGAGAGACCCCAGAAACUCCCCGGUCGGCGACCCAGCCCGAGACGCCUGGGGUCCCAAGGGAAGCUGAACGCCCGGUGGGCUCCCGGGAUGGUUCUUCCGGUUCUUUGUGCCGCCUUCACCCAGUGAAGGAGCCUGUAUCCACCCUGCCCAGUCGCUGUUGGGCUGCUGCGGAGCUUCCGCUGCCAUCUUCGGAUCCUGUGUUCCGCCCGGGGCUCCACCAGGGCAGGGAUGGUGCAGAAUGGGGAAAUGGAGAGAGAACCUGAAAGAGCCCCAAACUCGAGGACCUAUUGCUCCCCAAGAAUAACAUCUUCCAGAACUAGACAGAAAACUAGGCGUCUGGGAACCCUGAAAUCCUUGGAGGAGUAGAUCAUCAUGACCCUCUGUGUUCCUUUUGGCAAAUGACUUGCUUCCAUUGUUUGUUUGUUCAAUUGUCUGUUUGUUAAAUAAAUAAAACCCUUUUCAUGUAUCUUUAAAAUUA
rnacentral:lncRNA from 1 species